AUUAAAACGUCAAAGCUGGCCUUGCUUUUGGGAAAACAUUACUUAUUGCGCAUAUAUCUGAACGUCUGGAUUUCUUCUAGGCAUUGAUAAUGUGUUGGCACUAUUUUUGCCUCAUAAACAUAAGGGUAUUUUGACUAGUUUCGGAAUCUUAUGUGAAUAAAACAUAACUCUACGCGAGUCUAGAAGAAAGGAGGUUUCCUACAUCCAAUCGGCUUUAGAAUCAACUGUUGACAAUGACUUGGGGAGAAUCUAUGGGAGGAUCGUGGGGUAAUGGCGGAUUUGGUUCAAGCACAGGAGGCCAUUCUGGACACAGACAUCCGAACGGCCAACACUUGCAUUCGUGUAGUGCACAUCAUAUGGUAUUUGGAGGUCAUGGGGUUUUUGGAACACACUACGAAGAACAUUGCCCAGGUUGUCGGCGGGAACGAUCUCUUCACUCGUGGGGCAGUUCCCACAAAGGAAAUGCAGCUCUAAGUCUUUUUUCUUUGUUUAAUGGAGGUAAAAUUGCCAGGAAAAGUUUGUGGGAUUAACAGUGGACAAAAGACACCUUUGAAGUGAUUUUCCAGACUUUUCCACUGCAUUAGAGAGAACAUGCAAACUUGAAAUGAGCUUGACUAAAACUGAAAAAUGUUAAUCAGAACUUGUGAAAAAACAAUAUUUAAAAAAAUAUUAUUUGUCUGAUGCCGUUAAUUCAUAAAGGAAACAGAAUGCAAACGAUUCUAAUUUUUAGUUGCUUAUGACGUAGAUAGCGUGUUGUGUGUUUCUAUUUUCUUUACCGUCCAUGAAAAUGCUGUAAGAAGCGGAGUCUAUUGAAAUUUUACUUGGUUGCGUCCGCUAUUUCCAAAAGACAUUCAACUAUAAGAUGAUUUCAGAAUACCUAAGUGUUGUGUGACAACCGCAAGUAAUCACAUCGAACCGUUAUUACUUCUGGUCCUUUUUUGAUUAUAAUAUAGUGUAUUAAAUGUUGUAUAAUAGAGUUCAACCUAUUUUGGAGGAGCGUAAUGUGAUUGAUGUAUUACUUUAAAAAUACCUCUCAUGGACGGACUUAAGUAACCAAGCUUGCUACAAAUUAAUUUGAUUGCGCUCUUUCUAGGCUUCCAGUUGAUUGUUUAUGAAUUUAUUUUACUUACGGCUUAUGUUUAACGUUCAAAGCAAUCAUUUAGUCUGAAAGUAUAUUUUAUGAUCUGUUGUAAAGUAAUUAGAAAACGUUGGAAGGACUAAAAGUUGUAUUCUAACAUGGCUUGAUUUGA
rnacentral:lncRNA from 1 species